GGGACUGAACCAGAGCGCUGCAGCGUGUGGUAAACUGGAGGUGUUUGACUGGUGUCCUCCUCAACAGCAGGACCUGAAUCUGAGCAGCGGGGGACGAAACAACGCGACACACACUCAGACUACUGCUGUGAGUCUGUGUGUGUGUGUGUGUGUGUGUGUGUGUGUGUGUGUGUGUGUGUGUGUGUGUGUGUGU